GAGAAAUACCCAUUGCAGUCUCAUGGCCAGAUGAGCUUGCUUGGAGGUGUGCUGAAAUGCAUAUGUGGUUUUCAUACUCAAAAGAGUACUGCCUCUGCUGCUCCAACACAUGUUGCAACAACCUGCCCCUUCUGUACCUGCUCAGGAGGUGAUGGAGAAGAGACAACCCGAGGCCCAGCCCCAGCCCCCGUCUACUCCACCCGUGGCAUCAAAGAUUUCUCCGCAAUUGUCAAUGUCUAAUUAAAACUAUUCUAACUUAUAUCUUAUUUCUUCCUGUAAAAGUAGCAGAGGGUGGUGGUCAAAAACAGCUUGAACCUGAAAUCUGUAGAGAAAACAAACUGAUUGUACAACAAAGAUAUAGAAAGAUAGUUUGUCAUUGCUUGAAAUCUAAUGUGAUAUACACUAAUGUUCAAAAAAAUGGAAUUGUUAAAAUAUAAAAGCUUCAUAUUAAUCAUAUAUAACAAGAAUUCUAUUGUGUUUGAUUUGCUCAUACACAAAGUAGAUUUUAUUUGAUUUUCUGUGCUGCUCAUGAAACAUUUCUUUAUAUUUUGGGGAAACAGUAAUAACGUUUUCAAAGAUAGAAUAACAUAAAUUAUUCUUUAUUUAUUUAAUUUACCUAUAUUAUUAUGUCACAUUAUUCCAGUUUUUACUGUAUAUUUGACCAAAUAAAUGUAGCCUUCAUAAACAUAAUUAAAACCUAAAAAAAUACAUCGAGCAGAUCCCAAACGUUUGAACAGUAGUGUACAUUUUGCCAUUGUGAACACAGUGUUUUUAAUGAAAUGUUUUUUGUCUUGCCCUUUUUGAGUUCACCAAACCAAGAUUUUCCGGAUCCCACCAUUGCUGCAGCAAAGCCAAAUCUUAGUGUGGCUAGAAGACCAUCACAGGUUGACGUCCAGCCCAGCAGUGUGUAGUGCUUCUACACCAAGCACAGCUCUAAACACAGGACCUUCAAGUUUCUGCCCCCAUCCUCACAUCCACUGCGGCAGUGACCAGCUCCACAGAGCCGUCCAGCAUUGUCUCAACUGCACCUUCUGGGUCAUUGCUGCAAGCUCCAUCAGCUGUUCCACUUCCUCGCCUUUGGGCUGAAACCUUGCCACCAGAGGACCACAUGUGGAUUGCUA